AGUGGGAUAGCUGGGUCAAAUGGUGGUUCAAAGUUUUCCAAGGAAUCUCCAUGCUGCUUUCCAUAUUGGUUGCACCAAUUUGCAGUCCCACAAGCAAU
rnacentral:pre_miRNA from 1 species